UCUGGGGUGGUGUAAGUAGUGCCAUCGUACAGAGCUCCCAAUUUUUAAGGGCCCUCGAAAUUUUGUUUUCUUUAUAUUAUACAUUAUUAAUAUUAUAACAAUCGUAUGUAUAUACUCUAACGUGCUACAUAUUGACAGAAAAGCAUUUGUAGUGGAGCUGGCUUUCCAGCGAAAAAAGGGAAAUAUCAAACUUUAACUAACCAGCAACAAUAUAUAUCCCCCAAAAUGAUUCCUCCUCCCUCCGAGCAUGCUAAUUCAUCAUAAAUUAGCACGAUAGAGUAUAUAUAUGAUAGUUAUAAUUAUUAUAUAUGAUCGUUUUGGGGUUAUACAACAAUCAUAUAUUUUUUUUUAAAUUUGAUUUCUAAUUUUCAUUACAUGCUAAUUUAUGAUGAAUUUUAGUUAUAAAAAAAUUAUUUUAUAACAUUAGGUUAUGAAUAUUUUUAAAAAAUAAUUUCCUAUUUAAGUUUCGCACACGACUCUUUUUACUUUUCCUUUGAGAUGUAAAUAUAUGUACCGACCUAUAUUUCCCCUUUGCCCUUUCUUGUCCUAAUCGCAUUAUUAAGCCUUUGAUGAAUGAAACAACCACAAACAAAACCAAAAGUUUGAGAAUACGAAAAAGGACUCCUUGACCCUAAAGCCAUCACCUUGACCAUCCGGAUACAUUGGAUUCAUGGCUAAUAUAUGCAUGGUCAUUAUGGAAGCUUCCGUCAACACGUGGGAACAAUUUCUCAGCCAGACUUUUUGACACGUGGCUAUUUGUGGCCCCUCCUUAAAUUUCAUAAUAAUAGCCUACAUGUGCUUUUUGAACCCAUAUAAAAUGCUGUUGCCCAACACUUAGUUUGGCCAUGCAAAACUACAUCAUAUAUGGACUCCAGAGGAAAGGUCAUGGAAGAGAAGGAAGGCGGAGAGGUUCGAUACCGGGGCGUGCGGAAGCGGCCGUGGGGCAAGUAUGCCGCUGAGAUUCGCGACUCAAACAGGCACGGUGCACGGGUUUGGCUUGGGACUUUUAACACGGCUGAAGAGGCAGCUAGAGCUUAUGAUCAAGCUGCUUAUGCCAUGAGGGGUGGCUUGGCCAUUUUGAAUUUUCCUACUGAGUACCCAGCAAGUGGUGGCUCUUCCUCUUCAUCGUCUUCGGCUAAUUUUUCAUCAUCAGUGGCUGGGACUAGCCAGGGGAGAGGUCGUGGGGAGCAUGGAAAUGAAGUUCUUGAGUUAGAGUACUUGGAUGAUAAGUUGCUAGAGGAACUGCUUGAUUGUGAUCACCAAAAGAAGAACAAAAAAUAGUGAGGUUGGUAUCCCUUUUUGGCUUAAUAAGCAGCUAUCCACCGUCUAUUUCUGCAAGGCACAUCGCAAGGUCAAUGAUGCUCUUAUCUUUCUUUGUUGAUAUGUAACUAGAUUCUGAUAAUCACCUUUUGCCUGCGUGUGUUUUUUCAAUGAAGAAUCUAGCAAAAGUGUUGUGUGUUGUUAAGCUUUUUAAGAUAUGGUGAUUUUCCUUCUACAAAAGUAUGAUCUGCGCACAACGCAGAAAAUACAUUGUGAGUAGUAGUUGUAUGUAUGCACCUUUAAUUUUCAGGGGUUGGUAAUUUUUGACACUGACUCCAAUUUAAUAAGAAGAAGAGGAUGAUUACUGGAUCUGACACAAUUCACUAACACGAAUAACUCUGCUUAACUUGUUUUGUGUGAUGAAAAGUAAUGAUUUUCUCAUUUGCUUUUAUAAGCCUCAUAAAUUAGGAUUACUUUCAUGGUUUUUUCUAGAUUGACUUUAUGAAUUGUUUAGCUUUAGACUUUUAGUCCACAAUUUACGAAAUUCAACUUGAAUAUGACACAUAAAUGAGUUAAGUUACGUACUAUCGAACCAUUUACAAUGAUAAUUACAUAAAUCAUGAAAAGGUUGACAACUAUCCGACAUGAGUUUUUGAAGAAUGUUGAAGUUUCACUCAUAGACGGAACUACACUAUGGCUAGAGUAGGCUCUAGCCUUUAAAGGUUUGGAAAAAUGAAAUUUAAUACUAUUUUUUACGCACUACACCUCAUUUUACAAACAAAUCUCUAGUUAGCUUCAAGUUUUCCCCUAUGAUAAAAUAAAUGGAAUUUUAUUUAGAUCUUUACCCAUAUAAGAAAUAAUAGCCCACCCCUAUAAAAAUUUCUAGUUCCGUCACCUAGGGGUGCAAUUUGGAUUGGAAAAUCCGAUUCCAAUCAAUUAUGUUAUGACAAUUUCCGAUUUUGGCAAGUCCAAAUCAAUUUCGACUUCUGAAAAUUCCGAUAAAAAAUUGGAUUGGAAUUGGAAUGUAUCAAGAGAUUUGCAAAAAAUUCCUAUCUAAUCCGUCCAAAAAUCAGCCCCACUCCCAAAAAUUUGAGAUUCCACCACAAAAUCAAUAUAGUUAGAGUAAUAUUCUCUUACCAAAUUUGUAAUAUAUGCACUCAUUUUAACUAGGGUAGUACCUACAAAUAUGAAGGCACCUACCUAUUAUAUCUUUCAAGUAGUAUAUGUAUGUAAUUAAGUGUCUAAAAUCAAAAUUUACAGUUUAAUAUCCUCAACUUUUGCCCCACAUAAAAAGGGUCCUUCAAUUUCGAUUUUUCGCCUCUUUGAUUGGGGGUAAUGUUCUCGAAUUUUCACCGCUUUUUCUAAACACUAGGGACUCUUUGCAUCUGUUUGGCUCUCUUGUUGUUCUUACUCUUAAUUGUGGUUUAUUUUUGUACCACUCCCCUGUACUUUGGUUAGGCUCUUUUGCCUCCAAUCUUUAGAUAAUAAUAUUUACAUUUAAAAAAUAAAAAAACAAAAAAAAAACUUUGUCCCACACCUCUGAACAAAUUGACAGGAUAGACUGUUUUUUGAAUUUGUGGCUGAAAUGGAUGUUAUAUAAGUUAUAACAACGUUCAACAAUUGUUAAUUAUAUAAUAGUCCACUAUAGUGAUCUCCAGGCGCACCACAAAUAUACAAAUUUUUAUAUAAAAAAACCCAAAAAACGUAGCCGCCAGUCCUUUCAUUUGGAAUGUGGCCAACUUUAUUUUUCACUGUGUAAUGUCAUUUUAUUUUGUCGCAAUCAAGCGAAAAAAUACAAUUAAUUAAGAAAAAAGUAACAAAAAUACAAAAAGAAAAGGCAAAGUUGAUAGAUUCCAAGCAAAGAAAUGUAAGGUGUGGUCAAAAGCUAGACACUAAUUCUUGGGUUUUACCACUACAGAUUGGCGCUUACAAAGCAGUCUGCUGUUUCUGUUAGGCGUUUUUUUGGGUUGCAAAAUUCGAUGUUAGGCCCAAGGUUUAAAAUAUCGAGAGUUUCGAAAAUAUCGGUUGUUCAAAAACACGGAAAUAUUGAUGGAAAUAUCGAGAAAAUAUUGAUAUCGAUAAAAAUUGAAUAAAAAUCAAGAAAAUUAUGAGAAAAACUUGGAAAUUUUUAUUGAAACUUUAGAUGAUGUUUAUUUAGUCAAUUGUCUAUUAUUUUAUCACAAAAAAUUGGAAUAAAAUGCAUGGCAUGGUGGGUUAGAGUGAUUUAAGUUGAUUAUGCGCAACGACCUAACAAACACCGUGUCUUUAGAAAAUAUGUAGUAAUUAGUGAAAGAAAAUUAAACGCACCAUAAUUUUUUAGUUAUAAUAAUUUACUACAAUAUAUUGCAUAUGAUAAGAUAUAUGAGCUUGACAAAAAAACAAAAACAAAAUAUAUGAGUAACUUAGUACCACAUAAAAAAAAUUCCUAUUAAAGUUAAAACUUAGUAUCACAUAUAAUGAACAAUAUUAAAACUCAAUAGUGAAUAAUAAUACAAUUCCAUAAUAUAUAACCAAAAAAAAAAAUCCAUAAUAAAAUAAUAAAUAAAAUUAAACAUAUGCCUAAAUUUAUCAUUAGGGAUUGUUUUUUUAAAUGGAAAUUUAUCCUAGAUAAUAUUAGCUUGCAGAAAUUUUUAAGACCAUAUAAAUAUUACACGUUGUAACAUUAUUAAUAAACUCAUUCGCAGCGUGUUGGAUAAGGCCUAGUAGAUGGAUGGGAAAGAGAGUGGUUAAUCCCCUAGUUGGCAAAAGCGCCAUUUCUCAACAAAUUUCAUUUAUUUUUCAGUUUCAAUUGCGAUAUUAUUGAUAAUAUCGCGAUAUAUUGCCCAAAUAAAGGACGAACGAGUAUGAAAUUAUCACCUCUGACAUUAUCGCGAUAAUAUCGAUAUAUUGACGAUAAUUAAGUGAAUAUGGCCUAAAAUAUCGAUCAUUUAAAAAAACGAUAUUAUCAACGAAAUAUCGCCAAUAAUUUCGAUAUUUAAGACUGUGGUUAGGCCUCACCAAGUUUUGGAGGCCGUGACUUGUGCUGGGGUUUAAGAGCACUUGUGAAUUGAACUGGCUGCAAGCUAGUAUUGGGCUCAGUUAUGAAUACAUAAAGACCUCAACUGAGGCCUGCUACCUACAUACAGUCUCUGUUUUGUUGAAAAAGUUGUGAGUUCAAAUGUCAUGAACGGCAGUUGUUUUUUAUUUUUUAUUUUUAAUACAAGCUUUAGUCUUAAACUACAAGGCGAGAAGAGUUUCUCUCACACACGCAUUUGCGUUGUUGAAUGAAAAAUAAUAAUAAUAAUUUGCUCGAGUCAUUCUGAAGACGAGUUUGGUUAAAGGUGGACUUCAAAGGCUACAAAUCUAAUAACAGAGAUAUGGAAAACGAAAUUUAUUUCCUCCUUUGCAAUUGUUCCUCUCAUGUUAAACACAAAACAUGCAUGCUCAUUCAUUCUCUCUCCAAUCUUGACCAUUUUUCAUUUGUUGGGCUUUUAUUUGUGGUGGUGGUGUUAUUCGAAUUUGUUCUCUCCUGCUUGCCUGGACUUGUUUGUGUCAUUUGUCAACUACUAGUACUACGAAUCCCAGCGUUACUUUGACAAGUAAAGUACUUGUGUUUGGGACAAAUUUGUCUGUCGUCAGCAGUGGUAUGUAUAUAUAUUCUUAACCUUUAUAUCCUUGUCCAAAUUGCUCUUCUAAAUUAAUCAUUUCUUUCUUGGGUUGGGACUAAUCCUGGCUUCAUCUUAAAUUCUUAAUGGAUGAGAAAAGAAUUUCAUGAAACAAAGAUUCUCUGUUUGUGUUUGGAAACAAGGUUCUCUAUUUUCCUGUUGCGUGAUUCUAAAGUUUGUCAGUGGACUAAGCAAGUCCUGUAUUGUCUCUUCUUCAAUCUUUAUUAUGCCUUUCACCAAGGAGACCAAAAUAUAAUCUAGAUAGUGAUCCAACUUUCUCCUUUUUUCAGGAUUUGCAAAAAUCAGGAGAUUGUUUUUUGUACUUUUCAAGCACCUCUUGCACUUUUCUAGCCAAGUCUAAAUAACAAUUUUUAAAUUUAUUUUAUCAAAGAUCUGAGCCAAUCAAACUAACACUCCAUUGGUAGUAUUAUAAUUUUUGAAAGGAUUCAUUUUCCACAACAACAAAAUAAAAUAAAAUAAUAAAAAUUAUGAGUAUUCUCUAUUGAGAAUGCCCUCAAUAUAAGAAAAGUAAGAAUUUCAGUAUUGUCAUAGCCCAUAUUGCAAUAGUGGUAUUUAUAUUUCUAGUAUGAAAAGAUAUCUCAAAUUAUUUUUUAUAUUAGAAGCCGUCUCAAGUUCGAAUCUCUUUUUUACGUUGAUAAUAACAACAUAUUAUUAGAGAUACCAUACACAUACAUGUGCAUAUGUGUAUAUCAUACCACGUCAUGACUAAAACAAAUUAUGACAUGAAAAAAUGUGCUUGCUAAACCAUGGUUGAACAACAUAUAUUAUUUUAUAGAAGGGAAAUGUGUUCAACUCACUAAACAACAAGGGAAGAAAAAGGUUACACAAACACAACUCAAUUUCACUUCCGUUUGUUUUUCUCCUCUUGAGAAUCAAGAAGGUCCUCCAACACAUGGUCAUCCAAAUACUCAAUCUCAAAGACUUGCCUUCCUUGUCCAGUAGAUGAACUUCCACCAGGAGCAGCAGCAGCAGCAGCAGCAGAAGAAGAAGAAGAAGAAGAAGAUGAAGAAGAAGAAGAAGAAGAAAAUGAUGAUGAGAAUCUAGGAGGAUGAGGAGGAGAGCCCAUAACUUGAGAAUAAUACUCAUUUGGAAAGUUGAGUAUGGCAAGAUGACCCCUUAAAUUAAAAGCAGCUCUGUCAUAAGCCCUUGCAGCUUCUUCAGCCGUAUCAAAUGUGCCAAGCCACAGACGAGCACCUUGCCUUGAAGGGUCUCUUAUCUCAGAAGCAAACUUCCCCCAUGGCCUCCUUCGGACUCCCCGAUAACGCACUUCUUCGCUUCCCUUCUCUUCCAUUCCUUGCUUCUGUAGAUCCUUUCCUCUACGAGGGUCUUCCAUAAUUUCUAGCUUGAUUCUUUGAAUAAUUUCUGGUGGUCGUUAAUUUUGACAAGCCUUUCUGUUUUUGGUUUAAAAUAUGGUGGCAUAUAAUGUAUCUCAUUGAUAUAUUUAUAGGUGUUUGAUUUUGGGACAAAUGGGGUCAUAUCACAUAUGACUUAGAUGUACUGUGAUUGUGAGAGUCCACAUGAACGUGGAUUGACCAAGCGUAAAUGGAUGUUUCUUGGAAGGUUCUUCAUCUUCAUGUAUAUUAAUUAUUAUCAUCUAGGGCUAUAAUAGAGGUGCAAAAAUUCGAUUCUUCGACUCUUUCUAUGAUCAAAUUCAAAAAGGGUUUGUAAAUCUCUUUUCUUGAUAGGCAUUUUCUUUCAAAUGGGCUUCGAAUUCUAUCUUUUUAUGUUCAUAUUAUGUGAGAAUAAUAGAUUGUGUUGGUUGGUAAUAGUUUUUUUCUUUCUUUCACUGAACCAUUGAACUGUAUUGUCACUUUACACAGAAUAUGUAGAGAUUGAUUCCCAUAUCACAAAGAUUGGAGGAAUUAGACCCACAGAAUAUGAAUGCGUAAGUGAUUCCAUCCUAAUAACUAAGAAUAUUACAAGCAUGCACUAGCCAUACAAUUUUGGUUGAAGGCAAAAAUAGGAAACUCAGGAAAAGCAAGAUAAGGUCUCAAGGGGUAUAAUUUUCCUAUUUGGUGGAAAAGUGGACUGCUAUAUAUUGUCCCCUUGCACUACUCCCUCGUAAUAUGCUUUGAUCAUUGUAGGGAUUUCAGAUAUGAGAUUUUUCAAAUCAUAUCAAAUUAUUCAAAUUUUAUUUUAUUUGAUAUGAAGCAUAUAGAAUAUGAAAAUAUUUUUGCUCACUACUUUAACCUAAUGUGUACUCUCACCAUCAUUCUCAACACUUGACACAUGUUCAUAGGCAUAACUAUAGUUAACUCUUUGUUUUGUAUUUGUGGAACCAUAGUUAUGCCCAUGUACACAUGUCAAGUGUUGAGAAAAGUGGUGAUGGUACACAUUGGGUUAAAAUAGUGAGCAAGAAUGCUUCGUAUAGAAUAGCAUUCAAACAUUAACGACUCAUUUUGGCUCACUCCACACUAUAAUUCUUUGAUCAAAGUCAUUCAUUCUGCAUUCCAUGAUCAUGGUUGCAAAUAUACACUCAAAUUGAAAAAAAUAUAUAAAUUUCGACACAACGAUAUUUUAAAUUACUCUAAUGUAUAUGGAGGGGAACAAACUUAGAUACAAGUGGGUGAGUACACUGCCUUGGCCAAUGGCCAUAACCCACACCUGCUCAAGUUGAAAAUCUUUGAGUAUUUGUGAAUAUUUUCAUUAUGUCUCAUAAUGUGUUCAUCUAUUUAUUUUAUCACAAUUAAAAUAACUAAAUGAUUUUUCAUUUUGAAUAUUUUUUUAUUUAUAGAAAUGAUCUUUCAAUGAGUACCUAAAAUUGAAUGAUUCAAAUCAUAUAAUAUAUUAUGGAGCGGACCUGGUGAUUAAUUAACGUAAUGUUGUCAAUCAAUAUGGUCAUAAAAUGUGAUCCCUUUACCUUUAUUUGUAAAAAGUGCUACUAUUUCCACUCUAUGUCCUAUUUUCGCACCCACAUAACCUUUCCAACUACCAUGUAAAUUUGAAAAAACACAAUCCUAUCUUUUCACACAUCAUUAUUCCUAAAAUACCCUUAAUUAUUAAUUCAAGCAAAUUCUCUUUGCUAAUCAUUAGUAGUUGAGAUAUUGAGAGGAUGAAGUUGUGUUUGAUGGACUGGAUAAAUGCUUUAGCAACUGAGGAGUCGUACACUUUCUUCUUCUUUAUUUUUUCUUUUUGUCAAACGAUGGAAUAGGUGGGUUACAUGAGUUGAGGUUUCUUUUCCCCAAGUCCUUAGAAAUCAUUUUACAAAGGGAAAAAUUUGUCUUUAAAAUUUUAAAAAUAAAAUAGGCAAAAAAAUAGAACAUGGGGUGGAAAUAACAAUACUCUUUAUAAAACAAAACAUAAAAAGAGAAUAUAUAAGAAUAACCAAAUGAUCUUGAGUACAUCAUAUAUUCUUCUGUCCAAACAAUCGAAAAAUUCCUAAAGUAUUAAAAAGUGGCAUAGGAUUAAAGUAAAAUUCAGACCCUCCCUCUUCCAGAAAUAAAACCAAGACACUCUCGUCGUUUAAAAAAACAUGUUCUCAAAUACCACUAUAGUAAUACUGAUAUUCAAGAGCAUUUCUCUUGCAAGAUGGCAAAUCAAAUAACCUUUUUUUCUUCUUUUCCAAAUGGGAUAAAAUAUAAGUUUUGGUAAACCUUGAAGACAAAUUAUAUGUCAUUAACUACCAAACCAAUAACUCGUCCGUAAAAAAGAAAGUGAAAACCUAAGGGCCGUUUGAUAAUCAUUUCAAUUUUAGUUUUUCAUUUUAAUUUUUCAUUUUUUGUGCUAGAGCAUAGAGGAAAAAGAGGGAGAGGGGAAGUGAGAAUGAGAAUGAAGAUGAGAUUGAGAGGGAAUAUGAGAGAGGAGGAUGGGAGGAAUGAGUAACAAAAGUGAAAACAAAAACUAAAAACUGAAAUCUAUUUGAAAUUGUUUUCACAUUCAAGUUUUCGUUUUCACUUUUGUUACUACUCCCUCCCAUCCUCCCCUCUUAUCCUCUCUCUCAAUCUCAUCCUUACUCUCAUUCUCACUCUCAUUUUCCUCUAUACUCUAGCACAAAAAUAAAAUAAAAAAAAAUAAAAACUAAAAAUAAAAUGGUUAUCAAAUGAGGCCUAAGUUACCUAACCUAAUAUUAUUAUUUUUUCCUUCCAAAACCUAACCUAAUAAAUUUCUUGGAGGUAAAAAAAUUAGGCGCUAUAUCUAUCAAUUGGAAAACAAGAAGAGUGCGGACUCAUGCCCCAAGCAUUUUGUGAUCACUGAUUACGUCGUUAAAAACAGUGUGACAUACAUAACCAAUGGGCUGUGCCCGCUCGGAAAGUGAAUCCCAAAAAGAUUUUGUUAUUUGUCUUUAAAUAUUUGUUUUGGUUACAAAGAAGGCUUGCUUUUUUAUUUAUUUAUUAUUUAUUUUAUCUUGCUCUCGAAAUAUGGGCAAAAGAAGAAGAAUUGAGGGUUUCUUUUGUUUCAUGAUUAGAGAAACGUCAAUCUAUACUAAUGGGAAUUGUCAAAGCUUGCAUACGUUAGGCCAUACGCACAAGGAAACAUGAUGAGCUCCAGCAGAUUAGUUUUUUUCAUAGGUUCAUCCAGGACAGAAUCUUUAUAGGAUCAGAAGCUAUAGAAAAUGGUCCAAUUCGUGUAAACGAAAGCUUUGACAUUGCCAAGAUAUUCAAAAGGAGCUCCUCACUAACUCCAAUUUAGUAUUAAUUUAAAAAACAAAAAGGUAAGCAAGGAACUAAGAAACAAAACCAAAAAAUAAUAAUAAUUAAAGCAAAGAAAACUGAGAGAAUUUGGUUUGAAUGUCCUAGAACAUGGAGACCAGAUCAUCCCUAGCUACUUUAAACUGUUAAUGAAGCUUUGUAUUGAGGCAGAUUUAGUCUUGGAUCAAUUUAAAAAGAUGAAGGAAUUGCAUUCUUAUUUGCCAACACCUUUCCGAUUUUAUUAAUUACAACUCCUUAAUCAUGGUUGUUUGACCCUCUAAAUUCUAAUCCUUUGAAUAUUGUAGCAUGCACUUUUUUCAAAUGUUAGAUAUAUGUGGUUGUUGUUUGAAAAUGAAAACAUGAUCAAGCGAAAACUUAGCACAAAGAGCCAAAAUUUGUAAGCAUCUUGAAUGGAAAAUAAUAUUGAAAAGAUGCAUAGCUUUAUGGGCAUCUAUGCCUUUUUAACAAAGAGUGGAGAAACCGUGUGAACCUAAUUCUCAUCGAGGAAAAGCAGUUUCAGAAUCUAAAUCUCUCAAAUGAAAAUUGGGGAUAGCGGGGAUAGCGGUGUUUUGUCGAGGUAUCAUAGAAUGUCAAAAACUUUUGACAAUGUCAAGAUAUAAACCUUGUGAACGUAAGAGAUUUAUAAACCUUUUAACAAUGCCAAGGUAUCAUAGAAUGCAAAAAAACUUACUUGUAACGGGGAUAGCGGUGUUUUGCUAUCCCCAGCUAAUUAUACAAUGACAUGUAGAAAAAUUAUCCUACGUGUCAUUGCAUUAUUGAUCGGGAAUAGCAAAAUAAGAGUUUUUUCCCAUAAAAUGAAGCUACGAGUUGAGCAUGAAUUGGGUGCUCUAAAAUACAUUUUAUGCUCGCAUUGGCCCAUCAAUAAUGCAUGAGUUGCUGGGUUUAUCAUUUGAAAGUUAUACAAUUUGUUACACAAGUGGAACUCUAGAUAACACAAUUUGAAGCCCAUUCCAAAUUGCAACAGUGUUUUUAGUUGUAUCCAAAUUUGUUCUUUAAAAAAAGCUCCUCAUUUUGGGAGAAAAAUCCCCUCCUAAGGCCUUAACUUGGUUUGCAAAUGCUAAGGAGAGAUUUCAGGCCCAUUUUAGUUGACCCAGGUAGAUAUCUUCAGAUUUAAAGAAUCAUAAUGAGAUGGAACAAAAUAUAAAUAUAUGUUCGAAUCUUCCCGUUCUUAAUAUCGUUUGUAUAAAUAAAACAACAUAAUAUAUAAAUAAUAUCCUUUAAUGAAUCGAAAUAUUGUAGCCAAAAACCUAUAGUGGUGUUACUACACCUGGAGGCGGCUAUAAGAUCCUUAAUUCACAGUCUAAUUGAUAAUUAUGAACUAAUUUAGGUUGAUUUUUUUAGUAAUCAACUAUACAACAAAUUUUCAUAUAUUUUGUUACUGAUGAAUCAAAUCGUGCUCGAGUAUAGCCAGUGAGCAUUUGUCUCUUACAAGGAUGAUAAAGACGUACUAAUUUGGAUGAGAUCCACAUAGAAAGAAGAAAAAGCUCUGCCGGUCAAAUUCAAUCACCAAAAUGCAGAUGCAUUGAGCCUAGCCAUAAAAAUCCAAUGCUACCAACCAAAAAUAUAUAUUUUUUGGAGGCUGAUUAAUGAAAUGAAGCCCCUUUUGCAGUCCUAGGGUUGCAUGUUUAUAAUGUGAACUGGGGUUGAGGUCGUAAAAUGAUGAGUGAGAGUUUGCUGUGGGAGUGAAAAACUCAUGGGGACCCAGAUGACCUAACAACUCAUUACCUGAGCACCUAGAUUUGACUACAUUAAGGUUUAUAUUUUACCUGGGAAAUAUUCUGCAAUCAAUUACUUUGUCAUCUUUUCACAACAUCUGUACUAAUAUUAUAAUCCUUAGUUUCAUAAUGUAUGUACAGAUUCAUGUACCAUUUACAUCUUUUUAAACAGAAAUGGUUCAUCCCUUUAUCCAGCUUUCAUGUUUGAUGAUGAUAUCAAACUUAUCUUUUGGUUCGUUUCUUCUUAAUUUCAAAGAGUUUGGCAUAUCAGAUUUUGGAUCAGAAUUGUUAAUUAGAUAACAUUAUAUAUGCGCACGCGCUUGUAAUUAUAAUGCAUCAUAUUAUGACAACAUAACAUGCUAGAUAUAUAUAUAUAUAUAUCUAGCAGUCCCGAUCUCUUGGACCACAGGAAUCCAAGAGAUUUGUGGUCACUCACCGUUGGAUGUAAAUUUAACGGUUCACUCAAUCUUGAACUCCUUUUAAGAAACUUUUUUGAAUCAUUAGAUUAAUAUCCAACGGUGAGUGACCACAAUCUCUUGGACUCCUGUGGUCCAAGAGAUCAGGACUGAUAUAUCUAGUAAGUGAUCGUUCCUAUUUUUAAUUGUGACUAUUUCCACAUUAUUACUUAAGAAAAUCCUGAUUUAAGGAUGAUUUUAAUAUCCUUUUAUUCCUUUACACAACCUAUACGGCUAUACCUAUGGAUAGGAUGUCCUACAAUAUAAUAAUGUUAAAUUUUUUGCGAAAGUAUAAUAUAUUAAUGUUGGGAAUCAUAAGGAUGAAGGGAACAGAUGUAACACAUAAUAAUAAAAAUUACAAAAGAUGUUGGGACAUUGGUUUGAUAUGAUUAUUGGGGGAUCGUAUCAACUUUUUAACUUUUUUAGCAGUGAGAAAGAAAAAAAGUGAUGAUUUGUAACUCAAGCAAUUAAAAAUGAUUAUUUUUACUCACGAGAUUUUGUGUUUGAAUUCUCUCUUUCUCAAUAUCACUUAUAAUAGUAAUCAAAGUUUCUUUAAAUUUUUAUUAACUAAUAGUGAUUUAUAACAAGGAUUACUAAUCCUUAAAUUUUUUAGGAAUCAUUCAUCAAUAUUUGUGAAUGACUAAUUUUUCUCAAUCUUUUUUUACCUUGGUUCAUUUUUUCAAUUUUCCAAAAUUACUCUCAUAGAAAAAUAAACACUAAAAGUUUUUAAAGACAAAAAGUUUAGUCCUUGUGUUUUUUGUUUUAGAUGUAGGUCCUUUGACAUUUAUUUUUUUUUUGUUGUGUCAAUUUUACCCUUUGAGGUAAAUAAGGAAAACACACUGAAAAUCUAAAAUUAAUGCAUUAUUUCCUUGUAAUUGAAUUCCAUAAUUUAAUUUUUGAAUUAUUUCCUUGAUAAUAUUCCUAAUAUAUCGAUAAAAUACAAUUUUACCAAUAAAAAGUAAAGACCCACAUAUUAUACCAAACAAACACCCACAUUAAAUUAUAUACCUAACUUACAGGUAAAUAGUGUUAGGAACAUAAAUUAAAAGACUACCUUUAAGUCAGAUACAAAAAUAGACAAAAUAAAAUUGUAUGUUACCUAUUUAAAAAAAGUACAUAAAAUACUAUUACACAUUGUUAAAAAUAUGAAAAAACAUAUAUAUAUACACACACACACACACACACAUAUAUAUAUACCUAUGCAAUAUGACAUAAAUGACUAUUACCUGAUUCAAGUCAUAAAGGGCAACAUUGGAACAAAAAAUAAUUUUAAAAAUAAAAUAAUAAAAAGAUUACAUCAUAAAAUAUUAAAAAGAGAAUGUAAUUCUAUGUGGCACAAAAGUCAAAAGACUUAGAUCAAAGUCACCAAAUUCGAGGAUUAAAUCCAACUCCUUAAUAUGAAUUUGAAUCUAUAUCAACUUUUCUAUAGUUUUAAUUUAUGAUGUGGGUUAUUUGGUAAUAAAAUGUGCCAUAAAUGCAUUCCUAAGUCAUUGAAAAGCAUACCAAUAUGUGGAUUUGAUCGGUGCCAGUCCUUGAACUUUAGAUAUGCUUACUUUUAGUCGUAUCACAAAGCCAAUAAAUUUAGGGAACCGGCGGAGCUCCAGGUUUCACUUUCACUCCUUCAUAAGAAAGACAACAUGUAUGAGAUUUCACAUUCCAAAAAAGGUGCUCACCAAACAUAAGAGACUAUUCCUGCCUCAAGAUAAUGGUUAGUGUCAAUAUCCUUAAAUACAUGUUCAUUUUUAAUGCAGAAGCUCGUGGUCCAAUUUUUAAUAUAUAUAUAUAUAUAUAUUGCCACUCGGCAUUACUACGUGGCAUCGAAGGAAUUUUUCUUAUAGAUCCUAAGACCUAUUUUCAUUUGGCACUGAUAAUAACAGUAUAACUAAAAAGAUUGUACUAAAAGGAAAUCAUUGCCAUGUACAUGGUAAUCAAACGAAAAUGAAAAGAAUUACUUGUUAUUGUAGUAACUAAGGGGCGCAGUCUUGGCCUUGAAGAUUUUUGGAAAUAUUAAGAUGGUCCUAAGUGCACGGGAGGGUGGGGCAUAUGAAAGUGGCAAGUUAAAUGUGAAAAAUAUAUGAAUGGACCAUAUACCAUGAAUCUGUAGGCAUCAUUGCUGGCCUAACUGGUUAGUCAAAUUAAUAGUGAUGAAUUUGGCUUUUUGGAAUCUUCCUCAAAUUUGUUUUAAUUUCUGUAGAAGAAAAAAAAAAGGUUUAAUUUUAAAUUUAUAUAAACCCUUGGAUGGUGGUGGUGAUAGGGAGUGGUGAGCAAGACUAUCUCAUCAGACCAUUUGAGCACAUGUGAUAUAUAGAUGCAGGUAAUUAGUUUUUUUAUUUUUUUUAAUUUAUAAAUUCCAAAAUUUCCUCUUAAAUAUCUAUUUUUCUAGAAAAGAAGAAAGAAAGUAGUUGUUUGACAAAAGAAAAAAAGAGGAAAGAAAGUAGUUCAAGUUGGAACAGAAAUUACCCUGCAGUUUCCUUAUGUUUUUUUUUUUCCGUUUAUUCUCUUACUUUUCAAUAUCCAUUUCCUUUAAUUAUUUUUGUGGAUAUGUUUAUGAUAAAUAAAUAAAUAAGCAAUCGAAGUUGGAUUAGUCUUACCUGAUCGACUGGUGACAUGAGCACUAAUUGCAAUCUGCACCCUUGUCCCCCUUUCACGAGAUCGGUUGAAAUGGCAGCAAAAGUCCUUCAAGACCAAAUUUGCAUCAAACAAUUUGGACCAUAAGUUUCCCACCACAUCCCCAUAUAUAUGGUAAAAAAUAAAAAUAAAAAUAAAAAACCAAAUUUGGUAUUUUGGUUUGAAGGUUACAAUAGUGGUAUAAAAUCGUGGGAGCAUUUUGCUCAUUACUUUAAUUCAAAGUUUAUGCUCAUUACGUUUUUCAAUACUUGACACGUGUUUAUAAGCAUAACUUUAGUUAUAAAAAUCAAAGUAAAAAGUUAACUAUGAUUAUACAUAUGGAUACGUGUCAAGUAUUAAAAAGGGUGGUGCAUAUACCUUAAGUUAAAAUAGUGAACAAAAAUAUUUCCCUAAAAUUGUGGGUUGGUGGAAAAUGGAAAAUAUUUACCUUGUUUCAUUUCAUGACGGAGACCUAAAAAAGGAAUGAUCCCAAAAGGGAAUUUUCCUAGAAGCUCCAUCCAUGUACAUGAAAACAUUUCAAAGAUGCUUAACUGGGGCUACCUCAAAUAUUAUCUUUUACUGCAGCUGACUUGUCUCUUUCCUUUUCUUGUAUCCAUUCUUUCCGGAGGACUUUCAAAGUUGAACCAAAAAAAAAGUAUCCUAGUUUUGAUGACUUUGAAACAUGACAACAGGGAUGAGGUUUCAAGGGGGCGUGCAUCUAGACCUUUCAAACAUCAAUUUCCUAAUGCCGACUGAUGAGAUAAAAGUUUUGUGCAUUUGGGAUAAUAAUUUUUUAUUUAUUUUUGUAUAUAUAUAUAUAUCACAAUCACCAAACAAGUCCCAAGGAGAAAAUUUAACCCAACUUGUUGCUUCAUACAAAAAAGGUCAUUCUCAUUCGGGUGCUGAUGAGCUUGGGCAGAGUGAGCACGUCCAGAUAGCAGCAAAAUAGGAUUUUGGCUAAUCAUUUCACAUGAAUCCUGAUGUUUUAUACAAAUAGGAGAGACGUGAAGAAAACCUACCUAGGCUACCUAAGCUAGCUACCUAAACCACAGUCAAACAAUUAGUCCCCUAUUUCUUACUUUCUUUCUGUGUGUUCAUAAAAUGUAUGUGUUCAAUCUUGUCCCAUCCUUUGGUUUUUUCCGAAAACUUUGUUAAAUAAAAUAAAAAAAAAUAUAAAAAAAAUCUGACUAAGUGCUUUCAAAAAGUUGCCAAAGAAAAUUGACCACCGCUUUUUUUGUUUUUCUUUUUUUUUUUGUUUUAAAAGUUAUGAUUCAGAAUUUUAGUGGUUGUGUCAAAUCAGCUUAAAAUUUAGCUUACGUGUGUGAGCCUCUCGUAUAUAUUUAAGAGUAUCAAACACAACAAAUCAAGGCGAAUAAAGUCUGAACACAAUUAUACAUAUGCAAUGCAAAAUAAAGAUAAAAUGAAACAUAUAUCUUAAAAUGUAAUCUAGUUUAGAAAUGAAAUAUGCAAUGCAAAAUGAAGAUAAAAUAAAACAUACGUCUUAAAAUGUAAUCUAGUCUGAAAAUGAAGAGUAGAAUCUCACUUAAUUAACAUCUAUAGCUCACCAUUGAGCAAUGAGUACUAAGGCUACAACUAUUUUUCCACAUCCAUGAGUCCAUGACCUUGUGAGUCUAGUUUCUAGGGGUCAUUUUCUUUGACAUGGAAAAUCGAAGUCCACUUACACCAAAUGGGUCAAGUUUUAAGUUAGUGAUGGAUUGGUAUGAGUGGAAACCGUAGCCAAGUGAACCACGGGUGAUUUGCUCUUGUUAUUGCAAUUUAGUGAUCUAAUCUUCUUCUUCCCUAAUAAGUGAAAUUGAUGAUAAAGUGACAAGUAAUAAUAUAAAACGUAUUGCUCAAGUUUUAUUUGUAAAUCCAAAGCCAUAAGACCCUUGACUUCUUUUUUCCACCCUCAUUUCCUCGAACAUUCACAAAACCAUGACCUCUUUCUUCCCAAAUAAAUUUUUUGGGCUCCAAGCCAUCCAAGCAAUGUCAAAUAUUUUUUUUAUUUCUUUAAAAUCCUAGUUGACAGCUUUGAAAGCGAAAAUACGUGGGAAAUCCAACGGUGGUCCUUGAAGUGGUAAAAAAUUGAACUCACUAUCUCCAACGGCCAUUCAACUACCACGCAGUCUGUGAAUUGUGCCAUUCAGAGGAAUCCACAUGCUGACACGCGGGCAAGCUCCUAUGCGACAAAUGGACACUGAUAUCAUAAGCUGCUGAGGUCACCACAAGUUUCUCUCUGACCUGGCCGCCAUGCUUCAAUUGACCCAUGUGUUAAAAUUCAUCCCAACUUGCGUAGGAUCCCACAAUAAAUACAAUAAUACACCAAAACAAAUAAAAUAUAGCCAACCACAUCUUAUAUUUUAAUAUGAUUCACCUGGCUACUUUUACCUUUUCACCCUCAUAAUUUUUACCCACUCUCUUUCGUUGGGUCAUUUUUAACUUGGGGGCCCAAUUGGCCCCUACUGGUCCACAUUGGUCCUGUGGGACCCAUUGGAAUUGGGUAUAAAAAUGGGAGGAGGCCCCGAGUCUUAGCUUAACCACAACGUGUAGCCACACUUGCACAAACACAAUAUUCCAAGAAGAAAACAGAGACACCACCUCAAUUCUUCAAAUGAAUUACUCAAUCUUCCACUCCCCAAUUUCCGAUUUGUCACCUGAAUCUUCAUUCGGAUCAUCAUUUUCUUGGGAUGAUCACAAAUUUGGCAACAACUCACUUCCCUUCAACGAAAACGACUCCGAAGAAAUGCUUCUCUAUGGCCUAAUUUCCAACGCCACCCAGGAAAUAACAUCAAGAGAAACAGAGACACUCUCUGUUUCUGCAAACCCAAUCAAGGAAGAGGAAGUGAGCUCCACGUCCGACUCGGAGAACCCGAAAAGGGAAAAGUCGUACAGAGGGGUGAGGAGGCGGCCAUGGGGCAAGUUUGCUGCUGAAAUUAGAGACUCCACCAGGCACGGCAUAAGGGUGUGGCUAGGCACAUUUGACAGUGCCGAAGCUGCAGCCUUGGCCUAUGAUCAGGCCGCCUUUUCGAUGCGUGGCUCCGCGGCGAUUCUCAACUUUCCGGUGGAGAGAGUCCGAGAAUCGCUUAAAGAAAUCAACUAUGUCGCUUCGGAUUUGAACGGGGGCUCGCCGGUUGUGGCGCUCAAAAGAAAGCACUCCAUGAGAAGGAAAAUCGGGAACAAGAAGAGCAAAGUGGAGAGAGACGUGAGGAUAGAAAAUGUGGUGGUGUUUGAAGAUUUAGGCGCAGAUUACUUGGAAGAAUUGUUAAAUUCAUCUGAGAGCACAUGUGCCACUGCCACACCUAAUCGUUGAUUCAAAAACAUUAAUUCAACUUUCUUGUGUUCUUCUUUUUUUUUUUUUGGUGGUAAUUAUAUGAACCAUCAUCACUUUGAAAUCUUUGAUCUGUCUCUUCUCCAAUAUUUUCUUUUUUCUGUGAAGUUGCAAAAAAAGGAUAAGGAGUUACGUAUUUAUGUAUCCUGGUGUCUCAUUUGUGGCGCUCAAUUAAUUGAUCCUUAAGGUGAUUAGAUUUAAUAUUCUACUAGUCAACUAAUAUAGCUGGUCACUCUUAUCAUACACAAAAUGACAUUGCCACAUGCACGCGUGCUGUACGAACUCCAAGUUAAAUCACACUUAAUAGUAGUACUUCAAUCCUCACAUCUUUUUGCGUUUGGCUGGUUUUCCAUGAUCGGGAGAUUCUUAUAGUUGUCGUCAUGCAUUGCGUUAGACUCUUAUACAUAACGUAUAAUAUUUAAAUUAUGUGUGCAUUCUGUGUGCGCGUAUAAUGCAUUAGUUAGACUUUUACGUAUCGUGCGUGAAACUUGAAUACAUACCACUCACAUAAACAAGAAGUUUUCUUUCUUCGACGAGGCUACAAAAUUAAUAUUUUCCUUAAUAGAAUAUCAUAUACAUUGGUUGAUGAGCAAGGAGUGUGAAUAUUGUUAUUAUUAUCCUCCAAUGCCAAAGGGGCCAGGCUAUCAAAAUAUCAAGGAUGUAUACAUAUGAUAUGGCCCACGAGCCAUGACCAAAGAGCUGCAACUUGCUUGGUUAGUCCUCAGUUUCAAUCGAAUUAUUUUUGGUUUUUAAUGGCAGUUUUGUCUUUAAGCACUAAGCACUAGUAAGUGUGGACACCUGUAUAAACCUAAUCAAGCAAUUAGCUCGAGCAUUAUGCAAAUCAUAUCAACUAAUUAAAGCUUAAUUAUAUCUCCAAGUAAGUAGUUGUGUGGAGAAGGAGAAGAAGAAGACAAAACUGCCAUUAAAAACCCAAACUUGAACCACUUUGAACACUGUUUUGGUCCAAUUUCAAAGCAAAGAAGCUUCUGCGAGCAAUUCAGUCUUAGUAAUUUGGGUGGACAAUAUCUGCUACUUGCGACUUAUCUAAUUCAUUCAUCCUCGCAUAUAAUAAUACACAGAUUUAAUUCAUUUGAAUAUAUAUUAUCUUCACGUGGGAUCUAAUUUGGUUCUAUAAAACUAUCAUAAAUUGUGACCCUCCUUCCUCCGCUUCUUUUUAAAAUAUUUUUCUGUGGACCACAUGAUUUGUUUUCAAUAUCACGUAUAAACUUUAUUUUUAUCAUUAUAUCAAUAUUUAAAAAAGGUUACAAAUUCGAAUUCUCUUUUCUUUUCAAUAGAAACGAAUACCGCUAUCAUAUUGUUAGCCACAUACUAUGGUAAUUGGUGCGAUAAAAUAUGUAUCACUAUAAUUACAUGAUCAUGCAACGGCUUAAGCGGUUUAGUAUUCUGUCUAUGUCCACAGAGAGUACUUAAUAUUUAAACACAACUAACUAAUGAUAAUCCAUGGGCUGGCAGUACAUGAAUAUUAAUCUUUAAUUAAUUUUUAUUUGACAUUAUCCAUUCACAAAAGACGCUAGUAGCAAUAUUGUAAUUCGCAUGAAUGUUGAUAACCAUAAAUUUUGUCACGUGAUUCUCAAUUGCAACCGGUAAAAUUGAGGGUCAAAGUCCUGGCAGUCAAAAUCCAACCAAGUCAUUCAAGCCGCUUCCACGUCCUCUAGGAAACCUAAUUAAGCAUAAUAUUCAAUGGAAAAUCAUGAUUAGAAUUUGAUUAAGUGAGUUGUUUUAGUACGUAUGAUAUGGUUAGCUCAACUUGGCCACCUUUCAAGAACAGAGGUAAUGGGAAUAUUAGAAAUUCGAUCAGAUUCUCAUUUAACUAGACUUUUUUCAAGAAGGACUUGAAUUAUUUUUUUGGGUUAUCAUGAUCAUUGAAAUUUUACUAGUUCCUGCAAGUGUUGCACUGAUCAUGGAAAAGAUAUUGGGAUGACAUCGAAGGGUUUCCACCCUUAGGUCUAAUCUAACGGAGUUAGGAUUUGUGAAAUUAUGCUUUCUUGACUACAAGAGAAAAGAUAGAUAGAUUCAUCCAACACACUGCAUUUCAGACAUCCAUCUAAUCUGAUGACAAAAAGAUAGAUUCUUAAUUAAAGACGUCAAUGAGAAUAACUCAUGAUUAAAAGGUCGGGUACCACUAACAUACAUAAAUAUAAUGUGGACGGGGCUGGUACCAAAAUGACCGGGGCAUCGUCCUCUUCCUACCCCAGCCACCUCCCGCCGCCAGCCGCCGCGGAUUCGCCGGAAUUUGGAGAUGAAGCGGCCGAUGUCGUCCAAACUUCAAAGCCGCCGAUCUCCCUCCUCCGGCCACCAAUUCCGUCGACCCAGGUAUGGAUUUUGAACCUCUCGAGCUGCUCUAGCUGAUGGUUGGGUAGGAUUAGAUCGAUUCUUAGCGUAGCCAACUCGAUUUUCGAAUUGAAAAUCGGCCGAAACUUCGGCCGCUGUGAUCGGCCAUUUCCGGUCAGUUUUUGGGGUAGGUCCAAGAACAAAAGUGGCUCCAAAUAGGGUGUUCUACCUAGGGUAGGAGUUUGGAGCCGUGAUUUUGAGAUUUUCUGGUGAAGCGUUAUCGCUUUGGGCACCACGCGCUGCCGACGCGUGCGGCGGCGCGUGGGCAAGGUGGAAAAAGUAGCACUGUGUUCCGAUGAGAUCCUUAGGUUGUCACGAGUGUGUAGGAUUUCGCGGAUCUCAAUUCGGACGUCGUUUGACUAUCGAACGGAUAAUCGCAUAUUGUGCGUUAUCCGGGUUCGACAGGUUGGGACCGUUGGAUGGUCCUAAAUUUAAUAUAUGUUAAUCUAGGUAAUUCUAGGAUCGUGUAGGAAUUCACGGAUUGUGAAUCGGAGCCCCGGAUGUUCCGAAUAGUAAUUUUAAAGUUUAUAUUUUAUAUUAAUUGUCAGAUCGUGCGAUCGUGAACAAUCCGACCGUCCGAUCUGAACCAAACUCGCAGGACAAGUGUCCUAUACCUGGUAGAACCCAUAGGGACUUCCGGAUCGGAAAUUGGAGGUCGUGGGUUCCGCAGGCCCGUUUGACCAGGGUUAGAGUAGUUUGACCCUUGGUUGACCGUGAGCCACCCGGAGUAAUCUCACCUCUCCAGGGGAGAUUAUUGGGUGCUAGACUAUUGUGGAGGGUUACACAAUAUUAGAAUUAAUUUAUAUAAUUAUAAACAUAUAUUGUUGCACAAGGGUACAACAGAGUCUAGAAUGUCAGUUUGGAGUGCUAUACGCACUACUUUAGGUACCUCAUCGGAUUUUGGAUUCGCUACAAACACCAUCAAGUGAAGGUUAGGUCCCGCGUGGCGUAGGUUAUCCGGCGUUGGGACAGACCCCAUACGUGGCGUUGGUUGUACCGGCGUAUGGGGAGAUUUGCAAUAUGAUGUUCAGGUCUCACGUGGCGUAGGUUAUCCGACGUUGAGACAUGCCCCGUACGUGGCGUUGGUUGUACCGGCGUACGGGGAGAUUAUGUGAUAUGAUGUUGAGGUCCCGCGUGGCGUAGGUUAUCCGGCGUUGGGACAGGCCCCAUACGUGGCGUUGGUUGUACCGGCGUAUGGGGAGUUAUGUGAUAUGAUGUGCAGGUCUCACGUGGCGUAGGUUAUCCGGCGUUGAGACAGACCCCAUACGUGGCGUUGGUUGUACCGGCGUAUGAGGAGAUAUAAUGAUAGUAUGGCAUGGUCGCACGUGGCGUAGGUUAUCCGGCGUGUUGACAGGCCCCAUACGUGGCGUUGGUUGUACCGGCGUAUGAGGAGAAUAUGUGAAAUACAGAGAAAGGAAAUAAGGUAUCACCGAUGUGUGGAAUUAGAUUUUAGGGAAGAACUACGUGUGGCUUGAUCCCUCAAGGAGGGUACGUAGGCAGCCUAAGGUUAUUAGGUGCAGCCGCAGACUAAAUGUUAGUCAUAAUUUGUAUUUGAAUGGUUUGGUAGUUGGUUAAGAAUUAUUGGAAGGCCGAAGGCCAUUUGUGUGAAUUGCAUGAAAUUAUAUUGUGCAUGCUGCCAGUUGGGAAUAUUAAAUGCGUUUUUAUGCAGGUUGGAAUUUUGAAAAAUGUCCAAUUUAUAGGGGAGACUCUGCCGAAAUUUCGGCAGGACGUCUCGGUUUUUAGUAAGUGGGCCUGGCAUCGGGGUGAUGUCAGGAAUUGCAAAGGGUUCGUCUCGGGUUUUGAGAAAAUUCGGGGCGGGUCCUUAAAGCCGGAAUUGGUUUUUGGCUCCAAAAUCGUGCGACCAGUGGACAUUUCAUCGCGUAAAAUUAGAUGUCGGCUGCAUGUUGCUCGACGGGAUGUUCAAUUUGUGCGAUGCGAUUUGGCGUUUGCGCGACGAAAACUGAUGCAACGAAAAAAUAUUCAUCGUCGCCCUAAAGUUGGAUGUCGACGUGUACUUGCGCGACGAAAAGUUAGACUUGCGCGACGAAAGUGGGAGUUUUGCGCAACAAAAUAUGUUCUUUGCGCAACGAAGUAUCUAUUCGUCGCGCAAAAGUUAGUCUUCUUCAAAUCUGAGUUACGCCAUGGUAGAGGCAGAAAGCUGAGAAUUUCUGCCUCUGCUGCUGCUGCUUAUGCUAGGAAUUCACUACAUUUAGUAGGUGAGUAUAUUUUGUCAUUAGUUUGAGUGUAUUCAUGUAAAUUCAUACUAAUGCUAUUAAUUUCGUUCUUUGUAGAGAUAUUUUGUGUGAUUAGCGGUUGGUGGCACUACUACAAAAAAGAAAAAAGACGACGGUAAAUCACCGUCGUUGUUAAAAUAUACAACGUCAUCAACAAAUACAAAACGACGUCUUUGUACUGCAAAAAGAUUUAAAAAGCCAGUCGAGGAUGAGAAUAGACGACCAACUCUCUAAAAAAACCGUCGUUAAAAAGGAAAAAUUUGACACAUAUUAACAGAACAAGGCCGCAAGAUAGACAUACAACGACGAAAAUUAAAACAAGACGCCGUUAAAUAUCAUUUUCACGACAAUAAAAAAUAUGACGUCUUUAAAUACAUUAGAAGACGACGUUAUUGAUACCUACUACGUCGCCUAUAUAAAAACAACCGUCGUAAAAUAAAUUUUUCACUUCGAUUUUUCUAUAAAAGAUGACAUGGAAAUAGUUGUCAGUGUCAUUAUUUACGACGUAUGUAUUUAUAGAGUAGACGUUGAACAACGAAACAACGUCGGUUACAAAUAUAUGAGAGUCGUAUUACAAAAUUUAUACGUCCUAUUUUCAGAAACAAACAACGACGAUAAAUAUUAGACGUUGUUAAGUAAAACAACGUCGAAAACAAAUAAAAACAGACGUGUUUAGUCUGCUAAAGUUCUAAAAAAUAGUCGAGGAUGAGAAUAGACGACCAACUCAAACAAAUCAUCGUCGUUAAAAGGGAAAAAUAUGACACAUAUUAAAAGAACAAGGCCGCAAGAUAGACAUACAACGACGACAACUAAAACACUACGCCGUUAAAUACAAUUUUUACGACAAGAAAAAAUAUGACGUCUUUAAAUACAUGAGAAGACGACGUUAUUGAAAUCUACUACGUCUCUUAUUUACAAACAACCGUCGUGAAAUAAAUUUUUCACUUCGAUUUUUCUAAAAAAGAUGACGUGGAAAUAGUUGUCAGUGUCAUUAUUUACGACGUAUGUAUUUAUAUAGUUGACGUUGAAAUUCGAAACAACGUCGGUGGUAUUUAUAUAGUCGACGUUGUAUUUAUAUGUAUUCAUUACUCACGACGCACUUAUUAAUAUAGACGACGUUGAACUUCUAAACAACGUCGGUUCCAAAUAAAUGAGAGCCGUAUUACAGAACAUAUAGACGGCAUUGAUUAUGAUGAGAGCCGUAUUACAAAUAACGUCGUUUAAUUGAUAUUAGACGGCGGUUAUAAUGAAUUACCGUCGGAAUUCAUUUCGUUCCUCUUCGUUUAUAAAAGAACUUGCGACGUGGAAAAUGUAUGAUGACGUCGUAUUUUUUAACGUUCAGAUUAUAUAUCUCGUUUUUUAGACGUCGGUAUUAUGGGAUUGGAGUCGUGUUAUUUUGAAUUACAUGGCGGUUCUUAAUCCUUCCCCGACGUGAUAUCCUGAAUAAUUGCUUCACAAUAGCGUCGUGGUUCUUCAUUGUUACGUUGCUUUAAGACGUCGGUAAAUAUGCUGAAUAACUGGUUCACAAUAACGUCGUGUUUUAUUUGAACGUAGAAAGUGAAGAAAUCACAUUACAAUAUAUUACAAAAUUAAUGUCAUACACUGCCAAUUACAUAAGCAUCAUUCAAUCCAUAUAUCUUCACACCCAUCUCGAAUAUUUUGACCACCUAACUCACCCACCAGUUUAUCAAAUGUGUCAACAUUUGGCAUCCCUCUAGUAAAUGGCUCACACUCAAUUAUCACAUCACCUAAGACUUCAUCACCAAUAACAUCAUUAUAUUCUCUAUUAGGCAUUGAUAACACUACCGACCAACCACGAUGCAUCGGGUCGUCAACAAAAAAUAUUUGUUUGACUUGAGAAGCCAAAACAAAUUGGUCAUUCCUAUGUCCAAUUUUACUCAAAUCUACAAGGGUAAAUCCAAGUUCGUCGACUACAAGACCAGAACUAUCUAUCCAAUCACACCUAAAGACUGGGAUUGUAAACUUUUGGUAGUCAAGGUCCCAAAUUUCUUAAAUGACACCAUAGAAACCCAUAUUUGAGAGAAUUGAGUUUUUAUCCUUGGCACUAGCAACUUGCAUGGUAUGUGCAAGUAAAUAAACUCCACUAUUUUGAGUUGUCCGGACAUCAUCUUGUGCCUUGAUAUUGAAUUUAAUACCUUUAAUAAGAUAGCUCCUAUAUAAUGGCACUGCCAUGUUUGGACCAGCUGCUAGCCACCUAAAUUUUCUGAUACGCCAUGAUUGUCUUCCUCAAGUUCACUUUGAACCUGCAAUUAAUCAUAUCUUAUUUCAUCUAACAUAGAAAUAGAGAAAUUAAAGAGAAAUAUGUUAUUCAACACAUUUACCUUGAAGCAUAGCCAUUGAUGAAAGUGCUAUUGUGCUUCNNNNNNNNNNNNNNNNNNNNNNNNNNNNNNNNNNNNNNNNNNNNNNNNNNNNNNNNNNNNNNNNNNNNNNNNNNNNNNNNNNNNNNNNNNNNNNNNNNNNUUUUGCAACUAGAAUUCGAUGUCCGUGCAGGAGGUAUAACAACACGUUGUGGGAGACAAUUGAAAAUGUUCGAUUUCAUUUAGUAAGAAGUGGAAUGAUUGAGACAUAUAGCACUUGAAACUAUCAUGGGGAACAAUUAGACAAAGCUUCCUCUUCAAGGGCCACAAGAGUGGACAAUGUUGAACCUAUUUUGGAUUCUAAUGAACAAGUCAUGGAUAUUAUAAAUGAUGCUUUUCCAUUUGCAUUGACCAACAUCAAUCAAGAAGAGGAAGAUGACAUGUCUACACCAAUGGACAGUGCGGAGUUCGAACAGUAUGAAAAACUGUUAAAAAAUGCAAAUCAAGAGUUAUACUCGGCGUGCGAGAGUUUUUUCGUUCUUAUGGCCAUUGUGGAGCUAAUGCAAGGAAAAAUAAAGUAUCAUAUGUCGAACCAAUGUUUCGAUUACUUUUUGGGCCUUUUCAAGAGAAUGCUUCCGACGGACAAUUGUUUGCCGAAAAACCAUAGACACCCGCAGAAGGUCUUGAAUGGCCUUGGAUUGAGUUAUGAAAAAAUGUACGCAUGCAAAAAUAAUUGCAUGUUAUUCUACAAAGAGCAUGAAACAUUGGAUAUAUGCCCUAUAUGCAAUGAGUCGAGGUUCAAAAUGACUUCUCAUAAUAGAAUGACUAAGAUCCCACAAAAAGUUAUGCGUUAUCUGUCCCUAAAACCAAGGUUGCAACGAUUGUAUAUGUCAACGCAUACUGCCACAGAUAUGAGAUGGCAUAAGGAAAAACGGGUAGACAACGAUGUGAUGCGACAUCCUGCAGAUGGGGAGGUAUGGAAAGAGUUUGAUCGAACGUUCCUCGAGUUUGCUGCUGAUUCCCGAAAUGUUAGAUUGGGACUUGCCACUGACGGAUUCAAUCUGUACGGGGUUCUAAACCAACACCACAGCACUUGACCGAUUUUCGUAUUCCCAUAUAAUUUGCUGCCUUGAAAAUAUAUUAAAAAAGAAUACAUGAUGAUGACUGUUUUGAUAACUGAGGAUCCUGGCAGGUCAAUCGAUAUGUACUUAAGGCCGUUGGUUGAUGAGCUGAAGGAUUUAUGGACAAACGGUGUGCGCACGUUCGAUAAAUCGACUGGGAAGAUGUUCACUUUAUGGGCAAUAGUUAUGUGGACUGUGAAUGAUUUUCCCGCAUAUGCAAUGGUUUCUGGAUGGAGCACAAAGGGUUAUAUGGCAUUCUCUGUAUGCAAGGAAGAUGUAUGCCCAGCUGUCCUCUCGUCCCUCCAACUCCUUCGGAUGGUGGUGCAGGUCGCUCUUCCAUUGCUUGUACCUCUCAGCAAAGGGUCUGUUGACGUACGCUAUCGACUUAUCAUCGAGGUCCUCUACAUUGUAGUUCGUCUGCAAUUUAUUAAUUACAUACAUUAAGUAAUAGAAAUAUAGAAAGUUUGAACUUACAAAACAUUUAAAAGGUAGGAUACAUACCGACAACUGUCCGAGCACCUCCGUCCGCAUCUCCUCAGACAUGAACUUCCAAGACUUCCAUUGCAUAGGGCAAUAGGUCCGAACGACGUGCCCAACGUCGUGGGCCAAAGAUCUAUGCAAUUCAGCCGUUGGUGCAACUGAUGCCGCACGUCGUAUCCGAUGCUAAUACGACUGUUGGUCACUAGGGUGACCUUCGCCGUCUUCAACUGCCGACAAGGUCCACGGGUGUUCUUCUUGGCUGUAAAGAAAUAGAAAGUAUACUGUUAAUAGUAAUCAUACAAAAAUGUUGGACAACAACAGAUGGAGUCAAGGCAAUCUUUACCUGGCUGUGAUCUGACGCACAAGUACGUCUAUCGAUGCUGUGUCACUCAUGCUGGGGGGCGGUGACGACGUUUGGCACGAAGAGGUUGCGCCACAGAUGAUGCAGAUGACGCCGAGGGAUCACGAGGCAACUGCUCCAUCUGUGAUGGAGCAGUGAUAGCAGCAGGCUGAGCCGGAGGAGGCGAACUUUGUCCAGUGGUCACCGCCUUACUGCUUCGAAUAAGGUUUGACAUCUUGGCCAAGGAAAAACAUGUAACAUUUAAUAAUGUUUUAGGCAAAGCAUGUAACGUAGUUAAUCUAAUUGGGUUAACAUGUAACGAAAUAAAAAUAAAUAUUGAAACAACUAAUAAAACAAAAACAUAUCAUAAUUAUUAACAAACAUAAUUUUUUUUUUUUCCAAUUUAACAAUCUUAACUAAUUUUAAUUAAAGCAUAUCUUGUCUGGGGGUUAGCAAUUCCGGAGUAUCCGGGAUUCCGAUCGAAAAUCAAUCGAAUCCAAUACGAUCCUAGAAAUACAUGGAACAACAUGCGUGAUUUUUAGUUUGAUCCAACGGUCCGAACACAUCAAACCCGAAAAUUGCAUAAUAGGCGAAAUCUACUCUACACUGAAACGGUAACCAAAUUGAAAUCCUAACACACCUACGCGCUCGUGACAACUAGGGGAUCGCAGUGGGACACAAUGUCCCUCUGCUACAGUACCCACGCCCCGCCACAUGCGUCGGCAACGCAUGGAGUCCAAAGCGAUAAGGAUCGCAGGAAAUUUCACAAAAUUACAGACCAAGCUUCCUACCCUAGGUUCAAAACAACAAUUGGAGCCACUCUGGUUCUUGGGCCUACCCCGAAAAAUGGCCGGAAGUGGCCGGAAAUUCAAAUAAAAAAUUGGCUGAUUUAUUUUCUACAAAUUCACAUACCAAAACCAAAAAUUCAUAAAACCCUAUCCAACCAUCAGCUAGAGCACAAAAUUUAGUCGAGAAUGCAUACCUCAAUCGUCUAGUUUCGUGGCCAGAGGAGAGAGAAAUUGCCCAACGAAAAUCUGCCCAAUUCCGACGGUGUUGCGGCGGCGGAAGCGGUGUGCUUCGAAGGGGUGGUCGGCGGAAGGGCUAUGUGUGGGUUGAGGAGGCAGGACGUGGCGGUUAUGGUGGGAGGGCUAUCGGGAGAAAGAGGGAGGCGAAGGAAGGAGAUAGACCAAACCAGGGGUCAGUCGUGUUUUUCAGAAAAUUUACAAGCCUUUGAGCGACGAAGACUUAAACCGUCGUGCAACAUAUAUUUUUCUAACCCUUACGCGACAAUAAAGCUAAAACCGUUGCGCAAAAACGUCGUGCCACUCAAAAUUUUGGACCCUUGCGUGAUGAGAAAGGUGAAACUGUCGCGCAAGGCCGUCACCCUGCCCAAAAUUUCACACCUUUGCGUGACAAAAAACACAAACCGUCGCGCAAGGACGUCUGGCCGCCCAAAAUUUCAGCCCCUUGCGCGACAAAAAAAACCCAAAUCGUCGCUCAAGGACCCAAAACCCAAAAAAUUUCAGCCCCUUGCACGACAAAAAAACCCAAACCGUCGUGCAAGGACCCUAAACCCUAAAAAUUUCAGCCCCUUGCGCGACGGUUAAGCAUGAACUGUCGCGCAAGGACGUCAUGACGUUCCAAAUUUCAGACCCUUGCGCGACGACAAUUUAUCCGUCACGCAAAACGGAAACCCUGAUCCGUGAACCCUAAACCCUAAAGCCACAGUUAUACCAGAUAGCGACGAAGCUUCCGUCGUCGCAUAAAGAUAUGCGCAACGAAUAAAUUCUUUCGUCCCGCAAAACAAAUAUGCGCGACAGUUUUCUCCAUUCCACUAACGUGUGCGCGACAAUUUGCCCCGUUCGUCACGCAAAAUUUUUUUAAAAUCAUAUUACUGAAUUCCCUUUUAAAUGGAAAAAAAGUGGAUGUUCCUUGCCAUUAUUUUGAAAAAAUGAUUAGAAUGUGGAUCAUAAGGUCUGAAUUGAAUUAGGAUUGACCAUUUUCAAUUUAACAAAGACUUAAUUACUCAUCCACAACAUAGCCGGUAUAUUAUGUAUACGUAUCAAGUUAGAGUACAUUAACUUGUACAAACUCACCACAAUGUCAAUGAGGCAUAUUGUUUAUAUAAGUAUUGCUAUAUACGUAUAUUUCCUCCAUGUACACACAUACAUUAUAUAGAUGGCAUGCACAUAUAUAUAUUUAUAUAAAAAAAACCUUCAUACUUAUAUAUACAUUAUAUAUUUAUAUUUAUAUAAUUGUAUAACAUAUAAAUUUUAUAAAAUCGUAUUAAUAAAUUCCCAUAAAUAUUUAUAUAUUCUUAUAUUUCUAUACACACGAAAUAUAUAUAUAUAUAUACACACACAUAUACAGUGUAUAUUAUAACUUAGUAUAAUGUAUUAUAUACUUUGUCUAUAUUUAUAUAUAUAUAUAUAUUUGUGCGACGACACAUGUAUUGGUCACGUUAACAUCUCUUGCGCGACGAAAUAAUCCUAUUUGUCGUGUGAAGGUUCCUUGAGCGACAAUACAAAUUUAUUAUACAUUCUCGAUGAGGGUCUUGCACAUCAUAAAACUAACCAAUAUAUUACUUAGUUGGGAUUUGAUAUUACAUAAGCAUGGAUGCGAGAGAAUUUUGAACAUGCUCAAUCACCUAUAAGAGACGGAACAACUACUUGUCCAUACAUAUUGACAUGAGCAGUAAUUUCUUACUAAUAUUGUAGUAUGAUAUACUAUAAGUAAUUGGUCAGACAAGUGCAGUGAAAUGAGUUGCCAACAACUCUUAUUUAUAGCAACUAGCCCAUACUAAACAAGUUUAUACGAAUAGUUUAUUAUGGUCGUGUGAUGGUGGUCGACUUCUUGGAGGGGAUUGUGGAUAAAUUCUUCGAUGGGGUGGUGGCAUACUUCUUGGAGGCGGACUUCUUGGAGGGGGAGGUGGGGGACUUCUUAGAGAUGAUGGUGGCGGANNNNNNNNNNNNNNNNNNNNNNNNNNNNNNNNNNNNNNNNNNNNNNNNNNNNNNNNNNNNNNNNNNNNNNNNNNNNNNNNNNNNNNNNNNNNNNNNNNNNNNNNNNNNNNNNNNNNNNNNNNNNNNNNNNNNNNNNNNNNNNNNNNNNNNNNNNNNNNNNNNNNNNNNNNNNNNNNNNNNNNNNNNNNNNNNNNNNNNNNNNNNNNNNNNNNNNNNNNNNNNNNNNNNNNNNNNNNNNNNNNNNNNNNNNNNNNNNNNNNNNNNNNNNNNNNNNNNNNNNNNNNNNNNNNNNNNNNNNNNNNNNNNNNNNNNNNNNNNNNNNNNNNNNNNNNNNNNNNNNNNNNNNNNNNNNNNNNNNNNNNNNNNNNNNNNNNNNNNNNNNNNNNNNNNNNNNNNNNNNNNNNNNNNNNNNNNNNNNNNNNNNNNNNNNNNNNNNNNNNNNNNACGAUUGUUGGGUGGUGGUGGUGGUGGUGGAUUACUUGGAGGGGGUGGAGGCGAUUUGUUGGGUGGUGGCGGAUUGUUUGGUGGUGGUGGUGGUCUUAGAAAAAUAGGGGGUAGUAUCAAUGUAAUAGCACUAUUAGGUAUAGUACUAGUAGGUGGCUUGAGUUGCUCAUGAUGUUCUUCAGCAAGACAUGAAGUGAUGAGAACCACCACUCCCAGCAAUAGCACAAGAAAUUUUAAGUAACUCAUCUUUGAGCUUAUGAAGUUACAAAGAUCAUAUGGAGCAUCCUUUUAUAGUGGUAUGGGUGAUUGGUAAUUGUAUUUAUAAUUUUGCUAAAUAGGGUGGUUGGUGAUUGUUAUAGAUUAGAGGUCCAUGCAACAUUAAUUGAGAUCAUAAGUUGGAGAAUUUGGGCAGUUGCUUGUUUGAUAUAUGCUAGAGAACGUUCAAAAUGUAAUGCAUAUUGGUUUUUUAUUUAUUUAUUUAUUUAUUUAUAGUAUAAGUGAUAUUAUAAACUACAGGAGAAUGAGAUUUCUCUUAUAUACACACAACUACGAUGUAGGAUUUAAAUAGAAAAACUCAUACUCUUAUCAUUGAGCUAUGAACUAGCAGAUAUUAAAUCUUACUCGUGUCAAAAGAGUUUAGGCUAAUUGCCCACUCUGAAAUGAAUGAGAAUGAGGGAGAUAAAAUUGUCAUAAAAGGACAGAACAAAAUAAUACAUAAGUUUUCUAAAAAUAAUAAUACAUAAUUUUUUAACAAAAAUAGCAACGGGCAUCCUUUUUUCUUCUUCUUUGGUUUGGUCCUCCCGUUCUAUUCACGGCAAUACCACUGAGGUGAUUGAGAAAUAGGCAUUGACAAUAAUACAUAAAUUUAAAGUCUAAACUCCAAGCUUAGCUUAGGGUUAAGUAUCCAAUAUUAAAGUUUAUGUCUUCCCUUGUGCUGCUGGUAGUAUUCAUCCACUCUUCAAAAUAUAGGAAGUAGAGUUGGGGGUUUGGCAUGAUGAGGUGGUGGUGGUGGUCUCACUAUAGGGGUUGUGUGGUCAUCAAAACCCUUUUAAUUUCCACCAAAACCCUGAGAUUGACUUUGUUGGAAAAUUUAAUAUUAACUAAUAUUGAUUUUCCUAUUUGAAUGGAAAUUAAUAAAAUUUAUUGGGUUAAAGACAUGACUCUUGGGUUAAAGACAUGACUCUUGGGUUAAAGACAUCUUCACAUGGGAGGUGACAACUUUUCAGACCAAGGGAUGCAUUGUUUGCCUUUUCAGAUUGAGAUACCUUUUUAGAAAGGGUAUUUCAUCAUCUAUAAAUAGAGCAAUCCUCCUGCAGUUUUAUUCAUUCAUGUUAAUUCUCUACAUACAGACUUUCACAUAUAGAAAGCAUUAGAGUUUUCAUAAAGAGAGGUUCCUGCAUAAUUUGGUUCAAAGUUCCUUGUGAAUUGCAGUGCUUCUUUCACAAGGAGGGGAGUCGUUGUAUCCUGAGAGGUGAACGCUAGUGAACCAUAAGCACCGUUGUGGGGCGUAAUUCGUCUUAAGGUCAAAGUGUCCAACACUUGCUUCGACUCAAUCAAGGUUCUUCUAAUUCAAUUCUCCUUUUGUAAAAAUCUAUUUUAUGUGCAGUAUUUAUUUUGUUUAUUUAUAGCAAUUUAGCACUCAUAUUUCCAACAGACUUGAUUGCCCUUCAAAAAGAAGAUUUCUCUGUAAUCCAUGUGAUAUUUGUGUGAUGAACUAACUCUUAGUCGAGUAGUAUUUAUUUUCCUAAUACAAAAAGAUGCGUCGAAUUGAAACCCUGUUCCUCUUAAUUUCCCCCUCAAACAGUUUGAGGGUAAAGUUAGUCUUAUGAUAUUAUGACUGUAGAGAGCUAGAACCAAGCAAAACAUUUUGUAUAUCUUUUCCUGUUUCUGGGUUUUAGGUUUAGCCCUUCCUUUUUUGGUUCGUUAGGCUCUUGGUUUCCUUUUAUUUUUUGGGCCGACGGAUUGAAUGUCAAAACCCAAAAUAUGUAAGUUCCAUAUACAUUUUCCAAACGAAUCUUAUGAUCUAAAUUGAAGAAUUUUAUGAUCUAAAAUUGUUGGUCGUAGGUAUUUUAUGGUUGGAGCCCUUCUGUUGUUCUUUGGGCUCAAGUUUAUUUACUUAUUUUGGGCUAUUUAUGACUUUUUGGGUCCCUUUCAAUUGAAGGGUCACUCUCAAAUAGAACAUAUUAUUGCUGGAAAUAGUUUUGCUCGUGAAAAAUAAAGAAAUUCGGUUUGCUGGAAAUAGCCAUUGACAAUAAUACAUUUUAAAGUCUUAAACUCUAAACUUAGCUUCGGUUAAAUAUUCCAUUAAUGGCAGAAUGUUAAGGCUAAAAGUGUAGGAAUGCCAGCCAAAGGGUAUUAUUAACUAGGGCUGGCAAUGGGUCGUGUCGUGUCGGGUUCGUGUCGUGUCGGGAUAAUAAACGUGUCAAGAAUGCUCAACCCGAACCCAACCCAUUUAAUAAACGUGUCGUGUCGGGUUCGGGUCGUCUUUUAUCGUGCGGGUUUCGAGUCGUGUAACGGGUUCAUAAAGAAUAACAUGCAUGUUACAAAACUCACAACCGAAAAAAUUUUAAUUAAAAAAAACAGAGAGAGUGGAGAAAAUAUAAGGAAAAGAAAGAAAGAAAAAAGAUAGAGAGAGGAGAGAAGAGAGAAGGAAAAGAAAGAAAAAAAAAUAGAGAGAGAGAGGGGGAGAGAGAGAGAGAGAGGAGAGAAGAGAGAAGGAAAAGAAAGAAAAAAAAAUAGAGAGAGAGAGGGGGAGAGAGAGAGAGAGAGGAGAGAAGAUUGAAGGAAAGAAAGAAAGAAAAAAGAGAGAUGAGAGAAAACUAAAGAGAAGGAAAAAAAAAGAAAAAAAAAAGGAGAGAAGAGGAAAGGAAAAGAGAAGAAAAAAAAAAGAGAGAGGAGAAGAAAGAAGGAAAAAAAAGAAAAAAAAAAUGGAGAAGAGAGACGGAAAAGAAAGGAAAACUCAAAAGAAAAAGAAACAUUAUAAAUAUCAAAAGGCAUACCAUAAAAUCACAAAGUUAGUUGUAGCAUGGUGGAUAAGUUGUUUGAGAAAAUGAGGAUGGGAGGGGUUCGAAACCCCUUGUGUGUGUGUUGAAGUCUCCAUUUGUCUUUAUUUUUUAGCGGGUUAGAGGGUUGUACACGGGUUGACACGACCCGUGACACGACCCGUUUAAUAAACGGGUUAGAUAGGUAUUAUAGCGGGUUAGCGGGUUGACUCGAAACCCACCCGUUUAUUAAACGGGUCAGAACGGGUUGACCCGAAAUUGACCUGUUUUUUUAUUGUGCGGGUUGAACCCGCUAAUUUCUCGUGCGGGUUUCGAGUCGUGUAUCGGGUCGUAUCCGAAAUUGCCACCCCUAUUAUUAACUGCGUCCAAGAAGCAUACUAAUAUCUUCUUUAUACGUCUGUGAGUCAUUAGUGAAUCUUAAUUGGUAUCAUGCUUUAUGCAUGGUUACUUACUUUGAUAUUCAAGGAGUAGAAGAAAUAAAUUUAUUGUGGUGUGGUAAUUUAAAUCAUGAAUAUAUAUAUAUAUAUAUAUGCAUGGAGCUUCCGUUAAGCGAUUCCUUAAAUAAGUUUAUUUGAGAUACACUCUUGUAGGGCCCACCAUACAUUGUAAUUCAUUAAUCCCAAUCAUCUUUGAAAAAAAUCACUUGAAUCCGAUAUCAUUUGAUCACUCAAUUAAAUUAUUGAAAUUUUAAUAAUUUCUUGACGCACCGUGUUCAUUGAUUUUGUAGGACACAAUUAGAUGUCUAAAUGGUUUCUGAUUUAUGUAAUUUUUUGCAAAGAUGAUUUAUAAAUGAAGAUUUCAAAAAUAGAUGGUUUGGAUUGUUAGAAAAAUAUUCGUAGGAUACCCUAAAGGUUCUACUUGAAAUAAAAUUAUUUGAGGGAUCUCUCAAUAGAAGGAUUGAAACACCUGAUUUGCACUAUCUCUGGAGCAAGACUAUUACAACUUGUUAAUUCAAAUUCAACAGAUUUACGCUAUAUACAUAAUUGUAAUCGUAAUCAUAUGAUUCAAACUUGAAACCCCAUUCAACUAAGUGAAUACAGCUACCCAUAAAAUCAUAAACUAGUUGAUACCAUAAUUAUUUAAUAUAAACAAAUUUUGAAUCCGUAUUUUCUGUUUAGUACCGUGCCUUUAUGCUGCUUUGUUCAUAUACUUGUAGUCUGCUAGUGAUGAAAAUGUUUGAGAUUAAAUUUAUUGAAGAUUUCCUGAUUUUGCUAGUUCUGUUUGCCAACCGAUUAUAAUUCUUUGUAUGUUCUGAAACCUUUGUUCAACAUGGUGGGUUUUAUAAUUUAGAAUAGAAGCUUAAAUUUUAUGAAUAAAACUUACUCACUUGGGAAAUAAUUGUUUUUUAAACAAAGAGAAUCUGAACAUAUGCUCCCUCGGAUACAAAGCAAAUUAGAACACCAACUUGUCCAAACAUAAUGAUGAUGACAUGAGCAUUGGUUACAAACACUAAUAAUUAGUUUAUGGUCAUUAAUUUGGAUGAAUAUGUGGUGUUGAGUUUGGGGUGUGGGGUUGUCUUGUAGUAUGGGGGCAGCUUCUAAUUAUAUAUGGAGCUGGAGUGAAUUUAAUAUAUAUCUUUCCCUGUGCUGGUAGGAUUCAGGACUCUUCAGUAUAGGAGGUAGAGUUGGGGGUUUGGCAUGAUGAGGUUGUGGUCUCACAAUGGGAGGUGAAGAACUUGGUGCUUUUUUUAAUAUAAUAUAAUUAUAAAUUAAUUUAAUUUACGGAGAAGGGAAUUUGAGCUUCAGUGCAGGAGGGGCCGGCUUACUAUCCUAGCCAAUUGGCUUACAUCUGUAAAGAACUUAUUGAUUUGACAGGUGGCUCUACUAUGAGAAAAACUUAUAUGAAACAGGGAUAUCACGGUUUUGCUAUCCCUAACCAAUUAUGCUAUGCCAAGUGGAAAAGUUAUCACGUGUGGCAUAGCAUGAUUGAUAGAGGAUAGCAAACCAGUGCUAUACCCAUUGCACAUAAGCAAGGUCUAAAAUAUCGAGAAAAUAUUGGACUCGUUCAAGGUUAAAGAAAACUUAAAAAACAUUAGCCUCUCUCUCUCUCUCUCUCUCUCUCUCUCUCUCUCUCUCUCUCUCUCUCUCCUUGCCGACAACCAACCUUUCUUAAGCUAGGGGAGGUGUCCACUGCCGCUCCUCCCCUCUGCCCAUCUUCUCCAUUCCUAUCCUCUCUCCCAUCUUUUUCCAUUCCUCUCAUCUUUUUUCUCCCUCUUUCCACUUUCCUUAGGGCUCUUGCUGGCCCUUAUCUCCCAUUCCUCUUCUCCUCUCUAGAUAUACUUAGAUCUUGGGCUUUUAGCCUUGAUUUAUUUGGAUCUAGGUAUGUUUGUGUGUUUUUUUUGUUUGGCUAUUUUUGCACUGUUCUAGGUGGCUGGUGUUGUCUUCAUCUCGGUGGCUACAUGUAACAUCCCACAUCGACUUACGAAGAGGGGAUGAUGUGACUUAUAUGUACAUGCUCACCUCCAUCUAGCACGAGGCCUUUUGGGAGCUCACUGGCUUCGGAGUCAUGAGAACUUCGAAGUUAAGCGAGUUUGGGCUAGAGUAAUCUCAGGAUGGGUGACCCAUUGGGAAGUUGCUCAUAAGUUCCCAGAAACAAAAAUCGUAAAGGCAGGGGGCCCAAAGCGGACAAUAUCGUGCUACGACCGAGCCGAUCAGGAAUGUGACACUGCAACAGUAGUGACGCUGGAUUGGGUCUCUCUCUUUAGGAGAGUUGGGAUACUUGGUGACUAAUAUUUUGUCUUUGUUUCAACGAUCGCGGCAGCAUCGACGCUGGUUGUAGUUGUUGGCAUGUGGUGGUGUGCCCUCUGAGGGGUUUCGUCUUCUGUUUUAGCAUAUGUUUUGUUGUCAUUUUCCAUUGUUUUGUUGCUCAUUUGCAGCUUGUCUCUACUCUGUGCAGCCCAAAGACCUAUGUUUGGUCAUAUGAGUUCCUUUGUCAUGUUCUAAGUUGAGUUGGAGUGCUUUUAAGAGGCCUCUCUUAUUAUUAUUUCAUGCUCUUCAACUGUGUGCUUUCUUGGGUUUCUGUCAUUUGUGUGUUUUUGUAGUUCGUAGGCAGUUAAAUGACUAUGAGUUUAUCUCAUAAAAGGCUUCUUUUGACAAUUGGGAUGCGAUGCGGUUCUCUUUAUGGGUCUAUUGUGUUAGUGUUUAAUUGAUUUUUUUUUUUCUGUUCUUGUAAUGGUCUUUUGUGGUUCAGGUCUUAGUCCUUGGCAUGUGUAGUACUCUUUCCUAUCCUAGGGUUUGUCUAAAGUGGUUUUCCUAAUAAGGUUUUAAUUAGGCUAUUGUAUUCAUACUAGUCUUUGUAUGCCGUUUUGGCUUAUUAAUGAAAUCUUCUUCUAUAAAAAAAGGUCUAAAAUAUCAAGGGUUUAGGAAAUAUCGGAGGUCCAAAAAUACGGAAAUAUUGGGAAAUUAUCGAUAUCGAGAAAAAUUGAAUAAAAACCACUGAAACUGUAAGAAAAUUUUGAUUCAAACUUUAGAGGUUGUUUAUUUUGUCAAUUAUCUAUUAUUUUGAUUUAUUUAAGUUGAUUAUAUAGCGAGCUAACAAACAAUAUGAGUGCAGAAAAUAUGUAGUAAUUAAUGAAAAAAAUUAAAUGCCCAUAAUCAUUUAUUCAUAAUGAUUUACUAUAAUAUUUUACACUUUAUAUAUUGCAUGGUAAGAUGCACAAGUGACUUAGUACCACAUAGAGUUCCUAUGAGGUUCAAAAUUUUCAUUGUCUUCAUCGUCUCUAUGUGUAGAGUACGUGUACUAUGAAGAGUAGUCAUCAAAUGGUAAAUUCCCAAAAUAGCUUUGCAUGUAAUUGUUAACAUGUCACCCAUAAAGAUCCAAGAUUGGUUGACGUUGCCCAUAAGCAAAAUCAUUUGAAGAUUGGGCAUCAGAUUCUUUUCAUGAGCCGCUUGAUUCUAUCCCAAAAGGCAUGGGAUACGAAGCAUAAGGAAAGAGUUGGUUUUGCAUAUAAUAAAGUCAUUAGCAGUGUGGAGGAUAAGGCAUUGGAGGAAGAAUUGAAGUGGCACGGGUUCGAAUCCCCAUGCUUACACGCGUACAAGCCUUUUCAAUUUUUUUUUUUCUAUUCCAUGUCCAUAUUGCAUUAUUAUCACUAUUAUCACGAUAUUUUGAGCAAAUGUUGAUGUUAAUUGAAGGAUAUUAUUAGUGUCGAAAUUUUCCCAAAAUUUUCACGAUAUUAUCUAUAUAUAUAAAGCAAAAGGCAGAGAAUGGUGAAACAUUCAAAAUACCAGAAAAUGCCCUUGGUUAAUACAAACAUUAAGAAUUGAAAUUAUUAAUUAAAUGAGGAUAAUAUGGUAAAUUCAUAAUUUUUCGUAUUAAAAAAAUUAAAAUUAAAAGAAAAUUCAGAUAAUAGGUCCUAUUUUUAUGGAACACAAAUAUCCAUUAUCUUUUUUAAUUCUAAAAUAAAUUUAAAUUUUUUUUAAAAAAAACCUCUCGCAUGCGCGGAAGCGCGUGUAGAGAGGCUAGUCUAUAUUUAUAUGAUAAGUACACAGAUCUGUUCCAAAAUAUCCCCUUGCCGAAAAACGAUAAUAUCCUCAAUAUUUCAGCGAUAUUAUCGAUAUUUCAGUCCUUGCACACAAUUAAGUUUCUCCUCUACUAUAGCACAAUCUCCAAACAAUAGCACACGCAACUUUGAGAAACUUUUGAAAGCAAUUUUCCAUCAAAAUCCUGAUAUUGAUUUGAUUGCCCUCCACAAGAAAACAUUCUAUGUAAUCAAUUUGACACGUGUGAUCAUAUUGCCCUUAAUAUAUUAGUACUUUUUUUCUUCUUCUGAAAACAAGAAGAGGUUUCAAAUUUAAAUCCCUUUUCCGUUAAUUUUUUUUUAAAAAUGAUGUUGGUGUAGUGCCUAUUAAAGAUGGCUUGGCGGUAAAGUUAGUCUAAUGAGAUUCUAAGAUAUAGAUGGAUUGUUUAGUUCAAGAUUUAGGAGCUUAGUAAUUGGUAUGAAAUUGCAUUCCCAUAUUUGGUAAAUGCAUUUUUUAGAAUGCAAUACCUAACUCAUUAGUAUGAAAUUCUCAUGUAGAGAGAAUUUCAUACCUUUAGUGCUCCUUGGGAAACUCUUCGUCUAUUGACCCUUAAAAUAGGGUCUAGUCUAGUGGAAAAGAGCAUUGACUUGCAGGUCAGUUGUCUCAUGUUUGAAUCUAGAUGGCACUUUGGAUGUGAGAAACCCUUUUGUAGGACUUAGACUAUCAAUAAUAUUAAAAUAAUACUAAUAAUAACUCAAGGGUGUUACUGAAAAACUGAAAAACUGAAAACUGAAAAACUUUUCAUUUAUAAUACUACACGAACCACACAUAGGAAUGCGAGAAAAUGGCUUUUCCUAAUUCUCACUUCCCAGCGUUCCCAAUCAUGGGAAUGAACAUCCGUCAUUCCCAUAUCGUAGGAUUAGACAUGGAAAUUUCAUUCCCAUGAAAUUUGCAAACCAAACGGGACAGAGAGUUGGAACAAUGCAAAGAUUUUGUUUAUCUUUUGGUUGGGCCAAUAAGUUUCUGGGCCUCCAUUUAUUGUAUCUGGGCCGUUAGAUUUCGGCCUCCCUGUUCUGUUUGUAACCCAGCGGAGGUUGGAGCGCUUUUCUUGUUCUUUGGGCUUAGUUAUAUUUCCUUGUUCUUUGGGCUAUUUCUAAAUUAUUUGGGUUGUGCCUUUUUCUGCGUUUGACGUCGUUUAAUGUUUAAUUUGUUUGAUUUUUGAGUUGGAGCUGGUUGGGUCCUUCUCAUUUGAAGGUAGGGUCAGUCUCAAAUGGAAAAUAUUAUUGCUUGAUGUGAAAAAUAAAGAAAUUCGGUUUUGUGGGCUUAUGGCCUAAAUUAAUUGAGGAAUAAUGCCAUUCAAAAGACUGAAUUAACAUGACCCACAUUUUUCCAUCCUGGAAAACUUGUUCCUUAAGCAGAUCAUGGCUACUGAUGAAGUAAAGAAGAAAGGGAUGCUUAAAAAGAGAUAUAUAUAUAUAUAUAUCAAAUGAGCCAAGAAUUAAUGAAAUUUUGUAAAACUGAGAUUACUGAAUUACUUGAAAAAGGAAUAAUCUGUAAGAUUAGUCACCCUGGUCUUGUCCUGCUUUCUAUGUCCAGAAAAAUGCUGAAUUAGAACGCGGAGUCCUAAGAUUAGUCAACCCAAGUGGCUGGUUUAGAUUUUCUGAGUCAAAAGAGUCUUUGAGCACAGCUUCAAGAAAGUCACUCCAGUUGAAUUAUGAGAUUCCUAAAGCCCAUGUCUGUCAAAAUAAAAUCUGUUUUAAGACUUCUUUUGUCUUAGUUAAGAACAUUACUGAUGAAGUCAUCCUAGGUUUAUCCUUUAUUGCCCUUUUAUAUCCUUUCCAGGUAGAACACGAUGGAGUCAUUUCCACCUGUUUAGGAGAAAAGGUUAAGUUUGAAUUCCUUAGUAAACCAGAGUUACAUAAUUUAAAAGAAUUACAAAAGAAUGCAGUCACUAAAACAAUCAGAGUCAUUCAAAAUAAAGAUAAGCAACUAAAAUUCCUCCAGGACGAAGUUAAAUAAAAAAGAAUUGAGCAACAGCUUAGUCAUGAGUCUUUACAGUCACAAAUUCGACAGUUUGAAGAAAAAUUAAAACAAGAAGUUUGUUCUGAGUUGCCCAACGCCUUUUGGCAUAGGAAACAGCAUGUAGUCAGCCUUCCUUAUGUCAAAUCCUUUAGUGAGAAAAAUAUCCCCACUAAAGCCAGACCAAUUCAAAUGAGCCAAAAAUUAAUGGAAUUUUGUAAAACUGAGAUUACUGAAUUACUUGAAAAAGGAAUAAUCCGUAAGAGUAAGUCACCUUGGUCUUGUCCUGCUUUCUAUGUCCAGAAAAAUGCUGAAUUAGAACACAGAGUCCCAAGAUUAGCCAUUAAUUACAAACUGCUUAAUACUGUUUUAGAAUGGAUUAGAUAUCCAAUCCCCAAUAAAAGAGAUUUAAUUAAUCGUUUAGAGAAGUCAGUCAUCUUUUCUAAAUUUGAUAUGAAGAGUGGAUUUUGGCAAAUCCAAAUUUGUGAGUCUGAUAGAUAUAAAACUGCUUUCGUUACCCCAUUUGGUUAUUAUGAGUGGAAUGUUAUGUCAUUUGGUCUUAAAAAUGCACCCAGUGAGUUUCAAAAUAGAAUGAAUGAGAUUUUUAUUCCAUUUAAUCACUUUUCCAUAGUCUAUAUUGAUGAUGUACUUAUAUUUUCUGAGUCAAUAGAACAGCACUGGAAAAAUUUGCAUAAGUUCUUACAAAUAGUCAAACAAAAUGGAUUAGUCGUAUCUGCUAAGAAAAUUAAGUUAUUCCAAACUAAUGUGAGAUUUCUUGGGUUUAAUAUCUGUCAGUCACAGAUUAGCCCCAUAGAUCGAGUUAUCCAAUUUGUUGAUAAAUUUCCUAAUCAAAUCCUAGACAAAAGUCAACUCCAGAGAUUUCUAGGAUCUCUAAAUUAUGUUUCUAAUUUCUAUAAGAAUUUGAGAAAACAAUGUAAGCCUUUAUUUGAUCAUGUAUGGAGACGUCUAAUGAUAAGAGGCAACUGGAAGAUUAGACGGAGCAAUAUCUUGGAAGGGAUCAUGACUGGAUAUUAGGGCAGACUGAAAACUGGGGCGAACCUGGCCGACUGUGGCUCCUAGGUUGGCAAAUCUGUUACUAAUUUGGAUGGGAGAAAAUCCCUGAAAGGGGAGGAUCUGAGCAGGUGACUCUUGUUUGGCUUGACUCAUUGAUGGAGGGAGGACUCGGAGUGACUGGGGUUGACUAGACUGACCAACUUGACUCUUUUGCUUGUCUUUUUCUUUUCUUCUUUAUGCCAUUGUUUUCCCUGCAGGAAUUCUCUAGUAAGAAAAUCAGGGACAAAAUAUAUAUAUGGAGUUUGAGUUGAGGGAUCUCUCAAAUAAGCUUAUUUGAGAGACAACUUGUAGGGUACACUCUUUGUUGUAUUUCACUAAUCCUAACCGUCUAUUUUUUAGAUAUUCAUUCAAAGAUCAUCUCUACAAAAAAUCACUUGAAUCCAAUAUCAUUUGACAAUUCAAUUGAAAUAUUGAAAUUUUAGUAUUUUCUUGAAGCACUGUGUUAAUUAAUUUUGUAUGACACAAUUGAAUAUUGAAAUAGUUUCCGAUUUGUCCAAUUUUUUUUCAAGGAUGAUCUAUAAUUGUAGGCUUAAGAAAUAGAUGGUUUGGAUCGUUGAGGGAUCCCUCAAAUAAUCUUAUUUAAAAGACACCUUUGUAGAGCUCACUCCACAUUGUAUUUCACUAAUCUAAACCGUUUAUUUUUUAGAUAAUCAUUCAAAGAUCACCUCUACAAAAAAUCACUUGAAUCCGAUAUCAUUUGACAAUUCAAUUGAGUUAUUGAAAUUUUAGUACUUUCUUAAACUACCGUGUUCAUUGAUUUUGAAGGACAUAAUUGGAUUUCGGUUUCUAUUUGUCAAAAUAUAUAUAUAUUGAACUACUUUUUGUUGCCAUUGUCUGCUGCUAGAUUCACACACACAUAUAUAUGCUCUUCCAUUGAUGAAGCUGGCAUUAUAUUUAUAGUGAAUUUCGUGAUGUGGAUUAUUGUGUUUGCGGACCAAUCAUUCUCUGUAUGUUGUGAAAGCUUUGUUUAUCAUGGUGGGUUUUGUCAUUUAAAAACAUAUACAAUGUCAACCAACCAAUUUUACAAUAUCAUAAAACACAAGUAAUAGUAUUACUGCAGUUGGAAAUUGAUAUUGCAUACAUAUAUAAAGCAAGAAACAACAUGCUCAAUCAGCCACAAGUGAAGAAACAACUUGCUGAUACAUAACCACAUGACAUGAAAAUUUCAUGCAAAUAACUAGUAAUUAUAAUGGAGUCACACUAGAAGCUGCUGCAAAAUGAGUUGGUGUCCAGAACUCUUAUUUCUAGCAAGCAACUGGCUCUCUCUCAUUUAUUCUAACUCACUAGUUGAGAUGGACAGGUGGAGUUCAGGGCUUCUGGGGUGGAUUGUAGUAUGGGGGAGGCUUCUUCUUAUAUGGAGUUGGAGGAGGAGGAGGUUUCUUCCCUUCUGGCUUUUGUGGGGGUAGAGGAGCCUUGAUUGGAGGAGGGUGUUUAGGGUAACUAGGUGUGAUUGGUUUCACAACAGGAGGUAGAGUUGGUGUCUUAGGAUAAGGUGGUGGAAGUGGCUUGGUCACCGGCGUAGGUGGCGGUGAAUGUACAAUAGGAGGCUGAGUGCUUGGUGGUUUGCCAUAAGGUGAGGAUGGUGGUGGCCUCACCACUCUAGGAGGCAGAGUUGGUGGUUUGGGUUUGGGCACUAUUGGUGGUGAUGGCUUGUUAUAAACUGGGGGUGAUGGCUUCUUGAUGGGAGCUGGGGGCUUGUAAAUAGGAGAAGGAGUUGGUGGUUUGGGUUUGGGCACUAUUGGUGGUGAUGGCUUCUUGAUGGGAGCUGGGGGCUUGUAAAUAGGAGAAGGAGUGGGUGGCUUGGGUUUUUCAUUGUACUCAGCUAGAGAUGAAGUGAUGAGAACCACCAGGCCAAACAAUAGCACAAGCAACUUUGAGUAACUCAUG
rnacentral:lncRNA from 1 species